AUUAAAUGCAAAUUUGAUGCUGCUAAUUGCUGCUAUUAUACAAAAUGCAGAGGGGCGCAAAUACUGAAGAUAGUGAAAUUGCAUUAACUGCAAGCUGACUAGCAGAGCUGCUGCCAUACAAAGUACAGAGGGGCGCAAAACUGGAAAUAGCAGAAAUGCACUAAUUGCAAGCUGACUAGCAGAGUACAUCAACCACAGCAAGGAGGAUUAGCUAAGUGGACUCUACAGCCAAUAGGGCACAUAAUUAAGUUAGUUUUAAGUUAAUUCGAAAUGUGCAUUUUAGGCGCAAGCGCCGUCAUAUAAGUUCGCUGCAUA
rnacentral:sRNA from 1 species